rnacentral:snoRNA from 1 species
AGGCCAUGGUGUGGGCAAACUCGUUGGAGUUCUUUAUAGCGAUCCCAUGCCUCAUAUAGGGAUUCAUUUUCAUGUUGGGUAAAGGAGGUUAUUUCUUUGAUAAGCCU